AGCGAACGCUGGCGGCAGGCCUAACACAUGCAAGUCGAACGAACCUUUCGGGGUUAGUGGCGGAAGGGUGAGUAACACGUGGGAACGUGCCUUUAGGUUCGGAAUAACUCAGGGCAACUUGUGCUAAUACCGAAUGUGCCCUUCGGGGGAAAGAUUUAUCGCCUUUAGAGCGGCCCGCGUCUGAUUAGCUAGUUGGUUGAGGUAAUGGCUCACCAAGGCGACGAUCAGUAGCUGGUCUGAGAGGAUGAUCAGCCACAUUGGGACUGAGACACGGCCCAAACUCCUACGGGAGGCAGCAGUGGGGAAUCUUGCGCAAUGGGCGAAAGCCUGACGCAGCCAUGCCGCGUGAAUGAUGAAGGUCUUAGGAUUGUAAAAUUCUUUCACCGGGGACGAUAAUGACGGUACCCGGAGAAGAAGCCCCGGCUAACUUCGUG
rnacentral:rRNA from 1 species